UUUCAGUGGAGAGAGAAGCGUCUGUGGAACCAAGAGAGGAAAUGUGAGAUUCUGAGCCAUUUGUUUAUGUGUUUAGUUGCGCCAUAUGUUUGUCCCUGGCUCUAUCCUCAAGGUUUGCUGGAGUUUGGAUUUACUACUGAGUCAUAUUUGGAGCAUGCUGGAAUCUUACAACUGAGAUUACCGAGUCAGAAACUGAAAGACUACAUGAGGACAUAACAAGAAGAUGGUCAUCUACACGCCAGGGAGAGAAUUCUUACCAGAAACCAGCUGUGAUGAACUUUAGUCUGAGACUUUCCAGCCUCCAACACUCUCAGAAAAUGCAUUUCUGGUCCUUAAAACCCCUAGUCAGUGAUAUUUGUUGUGGUAGUCUGAGCAGACUAAGAAAUCCACUCUUUUGCCCUUUGCUAACUUCUACAGUUUAAUGUAAAUGCCAGUUUAAUUGUAUCAACCAAAAAUUUCCAUGGCUAUUUUUUUUAAACAUGUGUUUUCCAGUCUUAAUACAUUAAUACAAUUCAGAUUCUAUUAUGUGCUAAUUAAAUUUAGAUGAUUUAUAUGAUGGUCUUCUGAACUACUUCUCAAAUAAAAGUAGUACAUCCUCCUUAUUAGAGUUCUGCAUCAAUGAUGUCUUUUUAAUGCCAAAUAAAAUAUAUAUUUAUUCAAUUACUGCUGUAGAAAAAUUGUCAAGCUUUCUUCUAGUAAUACAAAAUUAGAUACUAAAAGUCCCUUAUUUAAGACCCAUGAGUUACAGAUAACAACCCAUCUAGUGAUAGAGGCCCAUUGCUUUCAGAAAUUUAAUUAAAAAUAAGUGGACAUCAUUGGUUCCAACUCCUACCUUCAUAUUUUUUUAAUACAAGUCAAUUAAAUCACUAGGUCAUAUUGGGAAUUAUAUCAUUUUUAAAACAACAUUAGACUUGUCAUCUAUAAGCUUCUGCCUGGACUCAGCUAACUAACUCUUCAAAUGUCCAAAGCUUUGCAUGAUUUCCUAGUAAAUUAGCCUGAAACAAUCUGUAAGAGACAAUAAGAGUAUGAUGUGAUUCUUCUUGUGAAAUCUGAUUUGAAGCUACACUUAGGAGAGAAAGUAGAGAAUGAGAAAAUUAUACAGAUGUUUCAAAAUCGUGUUGCAAAUUUCUGUAUGGAUUAGUUGAAAGAACAAUGGCCUUAAGAUUGACGAAUACAUUAACUUUUCUGAUUCUGCCACUAAAUAAAAAAGCCUUUGCCCUU
ensembl:lncRNA LINC02055 long intergenic non-protein coding RNA 2055